GCUGCCUUUUCCUCAUAGCAGAUAAUAAGAAAGAAUGGGGACAAAUGUCCCUGAAUACGGAGGCCAGGAACAUCUUGUCUAUCCAAAAAGGGAAAAAAAAGAAUUGAUUUCUGUUUCACUUUUACAGAGCACGGAGCCACUAGCUUCAUCAUCACCUCUAGACUGUCCGAGUCCCAGUGAGUUCAGGCCUACAAAAGACCAUUUACUGAGCAGCACACGAAAGCGGAGGUAAACGAGGAAGCCAGGCCAGCUGCUGCAAGAGACAGACGCAGGGCUGGGUGAGACCACGAGGCCUGUGGCAGAGGCCUUGACGGGCCACUGAGCCACCUGGAGGAGGGCAGUGAUGUGAAAGCAGGUAUGGGCUGUGCCAGCAGUGUCGAGAGCACGGUGAGAGCUAGGCUGUAGGCUGAGCUGCCCACGGUUGUUCCCAAGCUCUCAUGGUCUUUCUUGGCCUUGGAUUCUGCUGUCCAACGAGGCUUGCAUACAGAACUUGCUUGGGG
rnacentral:lncRNA from 1 species